GGGAGCAACAGCCCUAGUGGCGGCCGCAGCUCUGGAAACCUGGAUUCAGCUCCCACAGUAACUCCAGAGCUCUCGUCUGCAGGGCCUGGAGGCUCCGGGGCGAG
rnacentral:pre_miRNA from 1 species